CAAAGCAUCUUCUUACUUCUGACGUCACAUAAUGACGUUUUCCUAUUACAUCAUGUUUGAAGUUGAGGGCUUUUUAAGAAGAACUGUUGGUCAGAGAGUUACUCACCAAGAAAGAAUGGAUCACUCCUGGCUCUUUGAGCUACUCUUGCUGAAUACCCUCAUCUACUGUGGUCAAGCUCAAUAUAUGCCCUGGGCCUCAGUAAGCAUUGUCUCUCCGCAAAAGCCACUGUGCACAGAAGAAAAAGUCACUCUACAGUGUUACAUACCAGAAUACACAGACUGGUCUUAUGUCUGGUACAGAGACUACAAACACCUUCCCAGUGAGACCAGUAAAACCAUCACCAUCACCUCUCUCCCAGACCAGGCUGGUCAGUACCAGUGUCAGGGGAUGAGGACAGGUUGGCCCAAAUCAUCAUAUCUUAGUCCUUACCACCCUAUCAGUGUUGCUGUUCCUGAAUCCUGUACAUCAGUCCAUUCUGGAGUGUAUGUGGGUCUGGUUGUUGCUGCAUUUCUACUAAUAUUUAUCUUUGUCCAGCGAAAAGGUUUCCUUUUUGGAUAAUAUUUACUUGAAAAAUCUAAAAAACAUUAGAUAAAAGCAGGAAUGACUUCAUAUACUCUAAUAGUGCAUAUUUCUCUUUACAGUUUCCUUUUGUAACAUACAAUUCUGGCCCAUCCAUCCCCAGAGAACCAACCAGGACCCCCAACAGGACCAAGGAUCUACCCAGGUUCAGUCUCCUGAUGCUGGGUCUACAGUUCAGC
ensembl:lncRNA